AAGCUCUGAGAGACUAUUAAGGUAAAUUCUCGAUUGGUGUCCAGAAUUGGUCAAGUGGCUAAAAUUGAGACACAGGUCAUGCUUCCAUCACAGUAAAUAUUUACAGUGGUGACAAUGAGGCCUGUAACAUUU
ensembl:snoRNA